AGGCGAGCGGGUCCCGGCAGUCCCUUCGGGAAGUGCUGGGCCGGGGGUGGGGCGGACGGCUGAAGGAGAUCCGGGGACGGGGACAGCGUCAAGGUGGUGUUGGCUGUCCCCGCUCCAUGCGUAAGAUGUUGUUGGCCGUGCUCUCCCGGGUGCUGCAAAGCCCGGCGGCUGCUGCCGCCGCCGGAAAACCGGCCUCUCGAGUGAUGGUAGCAUCGCGUAACUAUGCAGACUUUGCAAAUGAAGCUACAUUUGAAAUUAAGAAAUGUGACCUUCAUCGCCUAGAAGAAGGCCCCAGUACCACCACAGUGAUGACUCGAGAGGAGGGGCUCCAGUACUACAAGACAAUGCAGUCCAUCCGACGCAUGGAGCUGAAGGCUGACCAGCUGUACAAGCAGAAGAUUAUUCGUGGCUUCUGCCACUUGUAUGAUGGCCAGGAGGCUUGCUGCGUAGGGAUUGAAGCUGCCAUAAAGCCUACAGACCAUGUGAUAACAGCUUACAGGGUUCAUGGCUUUACCUAUACACGAGGAGUGCCUAUUCGAGAAAUUCUCACUGAACUUACAGGGCGAAAAGGAGGAUGUGCAAAGGGAAAAGGAGGAUCAAUGCACAUGUAUACCAAAAACUUCUAUGGUGGAAAUGGAAUUGUUGGUGCUCAGGUUCCUCUUGGAGCUGGGAUUGCGCUGGCCUGUAAAUACUUUGGUAAAAACGAAAUCUGCAUGGCCUUAUAUGGGGAUGGUGCAGCCAAUCAGGGCCAGAUAUUUGAAACAUUCAACAUGGCUGCCUUGUGGAAGUUGCCUUGUAUUUUUGUCUGUGAGAAUAACCGCUAUGGAAUGGGAACUUCAGUUGAAAGAGCGGCAGCCAGUACCGACUACUAUAGAAGAGGAGACUUCAUUCCAGGUCUCAGGGUGGAUGGCAUGGAUGUUCUCUGUGUUCGAGAAGCAACGAAGUUUGCUGCUGAACACUGCAGAUCUGGCAAAGGUCCUAUUGUGAUGGAGUUACAGACCUACCGUUACCAUGGCCAUAGCAUGAGUGACCCUGGAAUAAGCUAUCGCACUAGGGAAGAAAUUCAAGAAGUGAGAAGCAAAAGUGAUCCCAUUACUUUGCUGAAGGACAGAAUGGUCAACAAUAACCUGGCUAGCAUUGAAGAAUUAAAGGAUAUUGAUGUGGCAGUAAGGAAGGAGAUUGAGGAAGCAGCUCAGUUCGCUACCACUGACCCAGAGCCACCACUGGAAGAACUCUGUCACCACAUCUACUUCAAUGAGCCACCCUUUGAAGUGCGGGGCCCAAACCAGUGGAUAAGCUACAAGUCUACCAGCUAAAGGACUUUAUACUGUCAUAAUUUAUUCAUAAGAAUAAGUGAAUAUAUUUACAGGAACUUAAAUGACUCAGAAACAACCCGUAAGGUUAUUUAAAAGUUCUUUCAAAUGAGGAAGUGUGUGGGGAAAGCCAUCUCAGUUUGGAUUUGGGUAAACAUGCUGAAAGUUGUUUCAGAAGGAGUUAAAGCAGCAGCUUACUGAAAUUGCUUUGUAUUUGCUUUAUCGACUUGUCUUUGGAUUGUUAUGUACAGUUAAAAAAAAAAUAAGCUUCAACACCACUUACCUAGUAGUGUGUUUGCUUUGUUUCUUAAUGAACCAUUUUCUUCCCAAAACCACCAGAAAUGCCCUUUAGAUGCUGUGGGUUUGCUGCAGGUACGUUACUAAAGGAAGACAUUGCACC